rnacentral:lncRNA from 1 species
AGCAAUCUUAAAGUUCCCCAUGAGCCCAGAGGCUGCAAGCCCAGCAAGGAUGGAAACUGCACACCCCAUGAGGUGGAUCAUCCUAACAGUGUGGCUUUCUUCUUUCCACUGGAUGUCUAGAAAUCAUCACAGAUGUCGUUUGGAUCUCUAAAGGAGAAAAGGCGCAUGUGUACACCAGGGCUGUCUUUGACCUGGACCUGCUCUAUGAAGCCAGCUGCUGACCACUGACUGACUCUGGAAACUGCAGCUGCAUCCUUUCCCCUUUGUCCUGUGUGCUCUUCUGCCAGUUCUCCACACACUCCCCCGACCUUGGUCACUCUGACACUCCCACUCUCUUUGGCAGAUUCUUUGCUCUUGCUUUUAAUUCCUUCACUCUCCAUCAAAGUAUUCCAGACUCUGAAGUGCAAAUUUACCAAGGACCUUUUGUGGAGUAGCAUGCUAGUAGACAUUUCGCCUAUAUCAUCUUCCUAGUUGUCAGCAACUACUGUAUAGGGAAAGAAUUAUUUGGCUUUGUGUGAUCUGAGGUUAUUGAGAAGGCAGAAGGGGAAUUUGAACCCAGACCUACCUUGGUCCAGAUCAUAUGCUUUUUGUACAACUCAUCACACCCCUAGAUUUUCUGUGUUUCCCUUAUGCUUUUCAAAAUACAUUUUGUGCAUGCCAAAAGAAAAGAAAAAAGAGGAAAAGAAACUAAUACACAGCCAAAUCAUCCUCCAGGGUCUUUUAGGAUUUUUAUACUUUAGAUUUAACAUUUAUAUACAGUUUUAUUUUGAGUUGAUAACAGGGGAUAUUUGACAUGUGGUUGUUAUAAGCCAAGGACUGAAUGUUUUCUACCUUUCACUCAUCUGUCUCUUUGAAAUGCUCUUCUAGUUUUUCUAAUCUCAUUCCCACAGCCAGGCAUCCUUUCCACAUUCCAGUCAGAGGAGUGGAAUCACAGGCACACCAUCUCUCCACAAUGCGUUGAUUGUGAAGAGAGACAGAGCUCUCCUUUCAAAGAGGCUUUCCAAAUAACACCCCUCCCCCUCAGUUCUGAGGUGCUGCAAACGAAGGAAUCAUCGAAUACCUUCCUGUCUCUGAAUCAGGACAUCAGGAAGAAAAGAAGAGUGCAAGGAACAUUGCAGCAUAAGCCUUUUCUCCUUUCAGAAGUUUUCUGGAACCUUCCUUGAUGGAUUCUUAAACACCUGACAUCUUUAUUUGUAAAAUACUUUUCAUGGGUGUGUAUAUUCAGUAGAGUACUUUGCCAUCCCAAAUGAAAUUAGAAGUCAGUUAGGAGAUAAAUAAAAAUGACAAUUAGAC